rnacentral:rRNA from 1 species
GACGAACGCUGGCGGCGUGCUUAACACAUGCAAGUCGAACGGAAAGGCCCUGCUUUUGUGGGGUGCUCGAGUGGCGAACGGGUGAGUAACACGUGAGUAACCUGCCCUUGACUUUGGGAUAACUUGAGGAAACUGGGGCUAAUACCGGAUAGGAGCUCCUGCUGCAUGGUGGGGGGUGGAAAGUUUCGGCGGUUGGGGAUGGACUCGCGGCUUAUCAGCUUGUUGGUGGGGUAGUGGCUUACCAAGGCUUUGACGGGUAGCCGGCCUGAGAGGGGGACCGGCCAAACUAGGACUGGGAUGCGGCACAGACUACAAUGGGAGGGAACGGUGGAGAAGGUUACACAAUGCGCGGGAGCCUAACGCGGCACCGCCGCGUGCGGGAUGACGGCCUUCGGUUUGUAUUCCACUUUCGCCUGUGUCGAAGCGAUAAUGACGGUAAUGGGUAAAGAAGCACCGGCUAACUACGUG